rnacentral:rRNA from 1 species
GGGAUCCUCUAGAGAUUCCUACGGGAGGCAGCAGUGGGGAAUAUUGCGCAAUGGGGGAAACCCUGACGCAGCAACGCCGCGUGAAUGAUGAAGGCCUUAGGGUUGUAAAGUUCUGUCUUCUGGGACGAUAAUGACGGUACCAGAGGAGGAAGCCACGGCUAACUACGUGCCAGCAGCCGCGGUAAU